AGAGUUUGAUCCUGGCUCAGGAUGAACGCUGGCGGCGUGCUUAACACAUGCAAGUCGAACGAUGAUCCCAGCUUGCUGGGGGAUUAGUGGCGAACGGGUGAGUAACACGUGAGUAACCUGCCCUUAACUCUGGGAUAAGCCUGGGAAACUGGGUCUAAUACCGGAUAUGACUCCUCAUCGCAUGGUGGGGGGUGGAAAGCUUUAUUGUGGUUUUGGAUGGACUCGCGGCCUAUCAGCUUGUUGGUGAGGUAAUGGCUCACCAAGGCGACGACGGGUAGCCGGCCUGAGAGGGUGACCGGCCACACUGGGACUGAGACACGGCCCAGACUCCUACGGGAGGCAGCAGUGGGGAAUAUUGCACAAUGGGCGAAAGCCUGAUGCAGCGACGCCGCGUGAGGGAUGACGGCCUUCGGGUUGUAAACCUCUUUCAGUAGGGAAGAAGCGAAAGUGACGGUACCUGCAGAAGAAGCGCCGGCUAACUACGUGCCAGCAGCCGCGGUAAUACGUAGGGCGCAAGCGUUAUCCGGAAUUAUUGGGCGUAAAGAGCUCGUAGGCGGUUUGUCGCGUCUGCCGUGAAAGUCCGGGGCUCAACUCCGGAUCUGCGGUGGGUACGGGCAGACUAGAGUGAUGUAGGGGAGACUGGAAUUCCUGGUGUAGCGAUGAAAUGCGCAGAUAUCAGGAGGAACACCGAUAGCGAAGGCAGGUCUCUGGGCAUUAACUGACGCUGAGGAGCGAAAGCAUGGGGAGCGAACAGGAUUAGAUACCCCGGUAGUCC
rnacentral:rRNA from 1 species